rnacentral:rRNA from 1 species
AUGAAGGAGGAGCUUGCUCCUCCGGAUUAGUGGCGAACGGGUGAGUAAUACGUGAGCAAUGUGCCCUUGACUCUGGGAUAAGCGCUGGAAACGGCGUCUAAUACCGGAUACGACCCUCGGAGGCAUCUCCUGAUGGUGGAAAGAACUUCGGUCAAGGAUCAGCUCACGGCCUAUCAGCUAGUUGGUGAGGUAACGGCUCACCAAGGCGACGACGGGUAGCCGGCCUGAGAGGGUGACCGGCCACACUGGGACUGAGACACGGCCCAGACUCCUACGGGAGGCAGCAGUGGGGAAUAUUGCACAAUGGGCGCAAGCCUGAUGCAGCAACGCCGCGUGAGGGACGACGGCCUUCGGGUUGUAAACCUCUUUUAGCAGGGAAGAAGCGAAAGUGACGGUACCUGCAGAAAAAGCACCGGCUAACUACGUGCCAGCAGCCGCGGUAAUACGUAGGGUGCAAGCGUUGUCCGGAAUUAUUGGGCGUAAAGAGCUCGUAGGCGGUCUGUCACGUCUGCUGUGAAAACCCGAGGCUCAACCUCGGGCUUGCAGUGGGUACGGGCAGACUAGAGUGCGGUAGGGGAGAUUGGAAUUCCUGGUGUAGCGGUGGAAUGCGCAGAUAUCAGGAGGAACACCGAUGGCGAAGGCAGAUCUCUGGGCCGUAACUGACGCUGAGGAGCGAAAGCAUGGGGAGCAAACAGGCUUAGAUACCCUGGUAGUCCAUGCCGUAAACGUUGGGAACUAGAUGUGGGGACCAUUCCACGGUCUCCGUGUCGUAGCUAACGCAUUAAGUUCCCCGCCUGGGGAGUACGGCCGCAAGGCUAAAACUCAAAGGAAUUGACGGGGGGCCCGCACAAGCGGCGGANCAUGCGGAUUAAUUCGAUGCAACGCGAAGAACCUUACCAAGGCUUGACAUAUACCGGAAACGG